rnacentral:rRNA from 1 species
GAGUUUGAUCCUGGCUCAGAACGAACGCUGGCGGCAUGCCUAACACAUGCAAGUCGAACGAGACCUUCGGGUCUAGUGGCGCACGGGUGCGUAACGCGUGGGAAUCUGCCCUUGGGUUCGGGAUAACAGUUGGAAACGACUGCUAAUACCGGAUGAUGACUUCGGUCCAAAGAUUUAUCGCCCAGGGAUGAGCCCGCGUAGGAUUAGCUAGUUGGUGAGGUAAAGGCUCACCAAGGCGACGAUCCUUAGCUGGUCUGAGAGGAUGAUCAGCCACACUGGGACUGAGACACGGCCCAGACUCCUACGGGAGGCAGCAGUGGGGAAUAUUGGACAAUGGGCGAAAGCCUGAUCCAGCAAUGCCGCGUGAGUGAUGAAGGCCUUAGGGUUGUAAAGCUCUUUUACCCGGGAUGAUAAUGACAGUACCGGGAGAAUAA